GAGCCCCUCAAGUGACCAAUUUUUUGCCAGUUCAGCAGUCUGGUAUCAAUGGAAGAUGGCCUCUUUUAAUCCAGCGAAGAAAGGGAAAUCAUAGGACUCAGUCCUUGCUGAAUUUAAGCAUCUCACAUGGAAGAGUCAUGGAGGAAAACAUGAACCUAACUGCCACAUAUUUUCAUGAUCAAGACCAUUUAAGGUUAGUUGAGGAUAUGCUAAUACUCCUGAACCCUGCUGAUCAUUGGAAACCAACUGCCACAACGAAGAAGGUCUGGAUAUAAACUACAGCAGCAGGAGAGCAUGAGAAUUCCUGGAUUCAGGGCUGGAGGAGGGCCACCAAGUAGGGUUGGGCCAUGGAUUUCCUUCGGAUCAGAGCAAAGUGCAGAAGUGGUUUUCCGUUGAUUUCUGCAGCAUGGCUGACC